GGAGCCUGCUCUCGCCUCAGGUGGUCCCACAGAGGGUGGGCAAGUGGCUCAGGGCACAGACCCUGAAGGACAGACCUCUUUGGCUGUUCCGUGUGAUUUGGGGCUUGGGCCCAACCUCUCAUGAGCUUUGUCGGAUGCCGUUUUGUUUCUGGAGGGUGGACACUGCCAUUUCUCCCUGACGGCUCUCAUACGUCUUGCACUGCCACCUUUGAUCCAGUGACACAUAGAGCACCGAGCUUGGGGAACAAAAAGCUCCGCGCGCUGGUGCCCGCCGCCUCCUGGGAAAGGCACUGUCCACAGCUCGACGGUCUGGCCUCACAGUCCAGGGACUACAUUUCCCAGAGAGCCUUGCGGACAGAGCCGGUCUUGCGCACUUUUCACUUCCGGACGCGGAAGGUUGUCGUGGAAACGCAGACGCUGCCGCGACCUCUUUCUUACCUUCUUGCGCGUGAGCAUGCACUAUGGUAAUGGAUAUUUGGGUUGUUGGGUCCUCCUGGCUGUGGGUAGUGCUGGUGUGAAUUCCGUGACUCUAUCUGUGCAGGCAAAUGCUUUCAGAGUCUCUUUGGUUACAUGCUGAGGAGUGGAGUUGCUUUAUCUCAUGGCGUGAGCGUGAGGUGCACCCGGUCCUCCCUGGGUGCCUGGCUGUAGUGCCGGACUCUCUUCUGAGCCCGUCGCCAGUGUUUUGAGAUUGGCUGUCUUCUGAACAGUGGCCAGCAUUUGCCUCCUUAGAGCAGGUCGGGGCUGGGGCGGCCCUGAAAUCAGAACACACAGGGCAGGAACAGAAACAUUCUUUUGCGGCGUCUGGAGAGAGUGAUGUGGGCCCAAAGCCGUCCCUGAAGAGGCCGCGGAGUGCCUGCCAGCGCCCAGGUGCCAAGCAGGACGUAAGGCCAUCAACCUGCAGGUGGAGCUGGAGGUGCUACAGUGCUUUGAAGCUGGAGAGAUGCUCAGCAGAAUCGGGAAGGCGCUGGGGCUCUCCACCUCCACCGUGGCCACCAUUUGUGACAAGGACAAGAUCUGAGCGAGUUUCCAGCCAGGCGGCCCCCCCGCAGGCGGCCACCAAGCUGACGCACAGCCGCCGCCUGGCGAUGGAGAACACGGAGCGGCUGCUGAGCGUGUGGAUCGAGGACCAGAACCAGCGCAACACGCGGGGCAACAUGGUGCUUGUCCAGGAGAAGACCGCAGCCUGUUCGAGGAGCUCAGGCGGCAGCAGGGCGAGGGCGCCGAGUCGGAGACCUUCAGGCCUGCCAGGGCCGGUUCAAGGUGUUCAGCGAGGAGGAGACCCGGCUCUUCUGGAGGCGGCUGCUGGAUGGGACGGUGCCUUCCGCCCGGAGGAGCGCCCUGGGUUCACAGCCCCCCAAGAUCUACUGACUCUGCUGCUGGGCAGCAACGUGGCCGGUAGCUUGAAGCUGAAGCCGCUGCUGGUGUACCCGGUGGAGAACCUGCGCGCCCUCAGGGGCUUCUCCAAGCCCAGCCUGCCCCUGCUUGGCUCGCCCACAAGAAGGCGUGGGUCACGGUGAGCCUCUUCCCGGAGUGGUUCGUGCACUUCUUCCACCCUGCGGUGGAGAGGUACUAUGCCUGGCACGGGCUCCCGCGUAAAGCGCAGCUUGUCCCGGACAGCGCUCCUGGCCGCCCUGGAAACCUGGACGACCUCUCCGACCACGUGGGCGUGGAGUCCCUGCCCAAGGAUACCACAGCCCUCAUCCAGCCCAUGACCCAGGACGUGGUCGCCACCUUUAAGGCCUGCCACCUGCGGAGGGUCUUCCGCCUCUUGGCCGCGAGGGCCGGGGGCACAGGCGAGCCGGGAGCGGCCCUGGACGUCUGGCGGGACUACUGCAUCCUUGACACCGCCCCGUACCUCUCCGUGUCCUGGGAGGGGUCCUGCCCUCGUCGCUGAACAGUGGUUGGAGGAGGCCGUGGCCCGAGCGCCUCCAGCACAGAGUCAGCGGCCCCCAGGUGGAAACCCACAGAUCUGGUGGGACAUCCAGGCGCUGGCGCACCAGGUGGGUUUCAGGGAGGUGGCGGAGGCAGAGGUGGCCGAGCUGCUGCAGAGCCGUGGCUCGGACUGGUCCAAGAGGAGCUGGAGGAGCCGGAGCCGACUGCUGAGGAGGAGGGCAAGGCCAGCCCCGCCACCGCCGCCAGCUCACGGCUGAGCACUUGGCCAGGGCCCUGGCACAUUUCGAUGCCCGCCUGCACAUCAUCAGGGACGACGCCUCCAAGCUGGAGUGCAGCCUCCAGGUCUGUCGGGGUGUGAACAACUUGAUGGGCUGCUGUGGGCGCAUUUCAAGGAGAAGCAAGGCCCCAAGUAGUGGGGUGGGAGGGGUGGGGAAGGAGGGGGCGUCCUCCCUCGCCAGCUCUCACUUGGAAGUGACACUGGUCUUCGUGUUUCCAUCUCAUUAACUCCUCAAAUGUCUUUUGUCAGCAAAUAAUUUAUUAUCUCCAGUGAUCUCAAAUACAUGGUUUUAGAAGCCUCGACGAAUGCUCAGUGGUUCUGUGGUGUCCCGAGCCCUUUGGAGGCAUGCAUCUAUUUCCUUGUGGACACCUGUGAGGAAGCCAGGCUGGCUGGGCAGCGCCCCUGGCAUGCUGCUCCUGGCACCUUGCUCACUGCACUGAGCCCUCCCUUUAUUCCGAGGCGGGGCUCCCAGAGCUGGGUGGACAUCCAGUCCAGAGAGGAGUUGUGCUUGUUUUCUGGUCCUCUCACUCUUCUGCUGGGCUUCAGGACCCACAGAGGACAAAGGCUGACCCAGGUGAGUGCCCAGAGAGACUCGGGGGUCCCGCGAGUGGGCCUGGGUAGGAGUGUCUGGCCACCCCCCUCCCAGCUCUGUUCCUACAGAGCCCCAGUGCCUCGUGUCACCCUGUUCUGUUCUCCAAAAUGAUGCUGAGCCCUUGUGGU
rnacentral:lncRNA from 1 species